GUUAGAGUGUGCUCCUUCACUUAUAUAAAUAGGGGUGCUUAGCACCAUUUGUAAUCAUCCCACAACAAGCAAAAGCAAUCAUAAAUAGAUAGUAGUUUUUCAGAAAGAGUUCUUUCUAAGAGAAUCAUAAAACACUCUCUAAACACAAAGUUUGAGUAGCGAAUCCAUUUCCUAAAAUACGAAGGCUAUCUCAAACAUAAACCGUCUACAUUCCAUCUCAAUCUCUCAAAGAAAAGAUUAUCCGCUAUCUUUCCCAACAGCUGGUAUCAGAGCAAGGUUACCGUUAU
rnacentral:lncRNA from 1 species